GAGUGGCGAACGGGUGAGUAACACGUGACUAACCUACCCUCGAGUGGGGAAUAACUCCGGGAAACCGGGGCUAAUACCGCAUAACAUCGCAAGAUCAAAGCAGCAAUGCGCUUGAGGAGGGGGUCGCGGCUGAUUAGCUAGUUGGCGGGGUAACGGCCCACCAAGGCGAAGAUCGGUAUCCGGCCUGAGAGGGCGCACGGACACACUGGAACUGAAACACGGUCCAUACUCCUACGGGAGGCAGCAGUGGGGAAUUUUGCGCAAUGGGGGAAACCCUGACGCAGCAACGCCGCGUGGAGGAUGAAGCCCUUUGGGGCGUAAACUCCUUUCGACUCGGACGAUGAUGACGGUACGAGUGGAAGAAGCACCGGCUAACUCUGUGCCAGCAGCCGCGGUAAU
rnacentral:rRNA from 1 species